AUUGAACGCUGGCGGCAUGCUUUACACAUGCAAGUCGAACGGUAACAGGCCUUCGGGUGCUGACGAGUGGCGAACGGGUGAGUAAUGCAUCGGAACGUACCCAGAGGUGGGGGAUAACGCAGCGAAAGCUGUGCUAAUACCGCAUGUGAUCUGAGGAUGAAAGCGGGGGACCGAGCAGCAAUGUUUGGCCUCGCGCCUUUGGAGCGGCCGAUGUCGGAUUAGCUAGUUGGUGGGGUAAAGGCCUACCAAGGCGACGAUCCGUAGCUGGUCUGAGAGGACGACCGGCCACACUGGAACUGAGACACGGCCCAGACUCCUACGGGAGGCAGCAGUGGGGAAUUUUGGACAAUGGGCGCAAGCCUGAUCCAGCAAUGCCGCGUGAGGGAAGAAGGCCUUCGGGUUGUAAACCGCUUUUGGCAGGAACGAAACGGUGUCCGCUAAUACCGGGCGCUAAUGACGGUACCUGCAGAAUAAGCACCGGCUAACUACGUG
rnacentral:rRNA from 1 species